AACGAACGCUGGCGGCAUGCCUAACACAUGCAAGUCGAACGAAGUCUUCGGACUUAGUGGCGCACGGGUGCGUAACGCGUGGGAAUCUGCCCUUGGGUGCGGAAUAACUUCUCGAAAGGGAUGCUAAUACCGCAUAAUGUCGUAAGACCAAAGAUUUAUCGCCCAAGGAUGAGCCCGCGUAAGAUUAGCUAGUUGGUGGGGUAAAAGCCUACCAAGGCGACGAUCUUUAGCUGGUCUGAGAGGAUGAUCAGCCACACUGGGACUGAGACACGGCCCAGACUCCUACGGGAGGCAGCAGUGGGGAAUAUUGGACAAUGGGCGAAAGCCUGAUCCAGCAAUGCCGCGUGAGUGAUGAAGGCCCUAGGGUUGUAAAGCUCUUUUACCAGGGAUGAUAAUGACAGUACCUGGAGAAUAAGCUCCGGCUAAACUCCGUGCCAGCAGCCGCGGUAAU
rnacentral:rRNA from 1 species